rnacentral:rRNA from 1 species
CUGGUCUUGACAUCCACGGAAGUUUUCAGAGAUGAGAAUGUGCCUUCGGGAACCGUGAGACAGGUGCUGCAUGGCUGUCGUCAGCUCGUGUUGUGAAAUGUUGGGUUAAGUCCCGCAACGAGCGCAACCCUUAUCCUUUGUUGCCAGCGGUCCGGCCGGGAACUCAAAGGAGACUGCCAGUGAUAAACUGGAGGAAGGUGGGGAUGACGUCAAGUCAUCAUGGCCCUUACGACCAGGGCUACACACGUGCUACAAUGGCGCAUACAAAGAGAAGCGACCUCGCGAGAGCAAGCGGACCUCAUAAAGUGCGUCGUAGUCCGGAUUGGAGUCUGCAACUCGACUCCAUGAAGUCGGAAUCGCUAG